ACGUACAAUUUAUCUGUAUUUAUUUAGAAGAUAAUGGUUCACAUAAAUUAAAUAAACCAGGGCUUGAUGCAUUAAUGAUACGUGUAAAAAUACUUCCCUAGGUGGACAUUUUAUAAACAAGUGUUUAAUAAUUUGGAUUUAUUGCUAAAAGCUCAGCAAAGAAAUUAUGAAGACACAGUAUUGUUUAACACUUCUAACGCUGCUAGUUACGGAAAACAUGGCUGCCUUAGUAAAUGUAGCUCUUGGAAAGAAAACCGAACAGCUUGGAGGGCAAUUAACAUGGCCAUCUUCAAAUGCAGUUGAUGGAGUAAAAGAAUGCCAUAAUAUCAACAGCAAAUAUCUCACAUUAUCAGGAUACAGUGAUUUACCGUGGUGGAAGCUUGACCUUGGGGGAUUAUUUCAGAUUCAUCAAGUAAAUGUAUUUGGAAGG